rnacentral:tRNA from 1 species
CAGGGAGACAACAAAAUGUUUAAUAUUAUUUUGUCACCUUAGGUCGAUCGGUAUCUCACGUUCUUAAUUAUUUAAGAAUUUCAUUUCCUAAGUUUUUUUCUAGGUCACACCCAUUACUUUUUCCUGGGCCAUUAGCUCAGGUGGUUAGAGCGCACCCCUGAUAAGGGUGAGGUCCCUGGUUCAAGUCCAGGAUGGCCCAUAUCUCUAUGUUGGGGGUAUAGCUCAGUUGGUAGAGCGCCUGCUUUGCAAGCAGGAUGUCAGCGGUUCGAGUCCGCUUACCUCCACUGAUUACCACCUCUUCCAUGAUUUUUCGAAGGAAAAUGUCUUGAGUUGUGAUCAAAUUCUGAACGAAUCUAGCUUCCUAAUUACCUUAAUUAAGAUGCUGGACUCAUUGAAUUAAAUUCAUUGUUUUCAGAGAACCUUGACAACUGCAUAGAUUAUUUUUAAAGACAAUAAGCAUCUUUAAUGAUGCAGAUUUAUUAUUUGUGCAAAUGCAUUAAUAACAAUUCUAUUAAGCUGAUGCUUCAAUUUUUGAAGUUAUU